AUUGAACGCUGGCGGCAGGCCUAACACAUGCAAGUCGAACGAGUGGCGGACGGGUGAGUAAUGUCUGGGAAACUGCCUGAUGGAGGGGGAUAACUACUGGAAACGGUAGCUAAUACCGCAUACCAUCAGAUGUGCCCAGAUGGGUUUAUCUUGUUUGUGGGGUAACGGCUAACCAAGGCGACGAUCCCUCUCUGGUCUGAGAGGAUGACCAGCCACACUGGAACUGAGACACGGUCCAGACUCCUACGGGAGGCAGCAGUGGGGAAUAUUGCACAAUGGGCGCAAGCCUGAUGCAGCCAUGCCGCGUGUAUGAAGCAGGCCUUCGGGUUGUAAAGUACUUUCAGCGGGGAGGCGUGAGGAGAAGAAGAAGCACCGGCUAACUCCGUGCCAGCAGCCGCGGUAAUAG
rnacentral:rRNA from 1 species